AGAGUUUGAUCCUGGCUCAGGACGAACGCUGGCGGCGUGCUUAACACAUGCAAGUCGAGCGGAAAGGCCCUUCGGGGUACUCGAGCGGCGAACGGGUGAGUAACACGUGAGUAACCUGCCCCAGGCUUUGGGAUAACCCUCGGAAACGGGGGCUAAUACCGGAUAUUCACUUCGCGUGGCAUCACGUGUGGUGGAAAGUUUUUCGGCUUGGGAUGGGCUCGCGGCCUAUCAACUUGUUGGUGGGGUGAUGGCCUACCAAGGCGACGACGGGUAGCCGGCCUGAGAGGGCGACCGGCCACACUGGGACUGAGACACGGCCCAGACUCCUACGGGAGGCAGCAGUGGGGAAUAUUGCACAAUGGGCGGAAGCCUGAUGCAGCGACGCCGCGUGAGGGAUGAAGGCCUUCGGGUUGUAAACCUCUUUCGACAGGGACGAAGCGCAAGUGACGGUACCUGGAGAAGAAGCGCCGGCCAACUACGUGCCAGCAGCCGCGGUAAGACGUAGGGCGCGAGCGUUGUCCGGAUUUAUUGGGCGUAAAGAGCUCGUAGGCGGCUUGUUGCGUCAGCUGUGAAAACCCGCAGCUCAACUGUGGGCUUGCAGCUGAUACGGGCAGGCUUGAGUUCGGUAGGGGAGACUGGAAUUCCUGGUGUAGCGGUGAAAUGCGCAGAUAUCAGGAGGAACACCGGUGGCGAAGGCGGGUCUCUGGGCCGAUACUGACGCUGAGGAGCGAAAGCGUGGGGAGCGAACAGGAUUAGAUACCCCAGUAGUCC
rnacentral:rRNA from 1 species